AGCCCAUCUAGUAACACAAUAACCUGACUUAGUGCCUGCUUAUCUGUUCUUCCUUUCUGCCUCCCUGAGUCAUGUUCUCCUGUCAGUCAGUGGGGUGGCCCUUGCUGUCUGCUGGGACAUUUCUCUUCUGGGAAGCCUUAGAGUCCCAUGCUGGGUGCUGAGCGAGCAAGGACAUGAUUUCCAGGAGCUACAGCCUAAUGAGAAGACAAAGCUGAUACUUCGCAGAGGCCAACGUGGACUUAAAGGGUGGAAGGUGUGACCAUACCAAAUGUCCCUCCGAGUGGCUGCUGCAGGUUGCCUGGCUCAUGAUUUCCCUGUACCUCCAGCCAUCCCGUCCCCUGGCCUCCACCUCCUGGUCUCAGCUGCAGCUCAUCCCUCAGCCCUGCAGUGCUCCCGCUGACCACCUACAACGCAGUCUCUUCCAGGGCACAGAGAAGGGGACAAUUUCAGGUCUUUUCUCUGGUCUACCCAUCUGGCAACAUUACCAGCAUCAGUACUUUUGCUUGGUCCAGAGUUCAAGAAUGUUACUUGUACCGUCCUUGAGCUAUUCUAGACUGAGGAGGAGCCUGAGACUGUCUGUGGACCUCCUGUGA
rnacentral:lncRNA from 1 species